GCAAGCUCAAAACGUCAAGUUUUCGAUACGCAAAUACGCCGUCGGUUUAUUUCUCCUCUCUCUCUCUCUCUCUCUCAUAUCUAGCCUGCAGAGGCGGGGCUCUCUCUCUCUCUCUCCCUACCAACUCCUCGCAAACGACCUCGUCUUCUAUAUAGGCGAAGGCGGAAAGGGGAGAAUUUGUAAUGGCUACUGCUACAUACCCACCACCUCCACCGUAUUACAGAUUGUACAAAGAUUACUUGCAAAACCCUAAGUCCGCUCCUGAGCCUCCUUCUCCUAUUGAAGGGACCUACAUCUGUUUUGGUGGAAAUUACACUACUGAUUAUGUACUUCCAAGCCUGGAAGAGCAAGGAGUGCGUCGGCUCUAUCCCAAGGGACCCAAUGUAGAUUUCAAGAAACAACUG
rnacentral:misc_RNA from 1 species